CCCUUAGAUGUUCUGGGCUGCACGCGCGCUACACUGAAGCUAUCAACACGUUUUCCCUCCCUGAGAAGGGCGGGUAACCUUUCGAAUCAGCUUCGUGGUAGGGAUCGGGGCUUGCAAUUGUUCCCCGUGAACCAGGAAUUCCUAGUAGACGCGAGUCAUAAGCUCGCAUCGAUUAAGUCCCUGCCCUUUGUACACACCGCCCGUCGCUACUACCGAUUGAACGUUUUAGUGAGGCAUUUGGACCGACGCAUCUCAGUUUAACCGCUGGUUUGUGUUGGAAAGACUUCCAAACUUGAGCGUUUAGAGGAAGUAAAAGUCGUAACA
rnacentral:rRNA from 1 species